CCUACGGGUGGCAGCAGUGAGGAAUAUUGGUCAAUGGACGAGAGUCUGAACCAGCCAAGUAGCGUGAAGGAUGACUGCCCUAUGGGUUGUAAACUUCUUUUAUAUGGGAAUAAAAUGUUCCACGUGUGGGAUUUUGUAUGUACCAUAUGAAUAAGGAUCGGCUAACUCCGUGCCAGCAGCCGCGGUAAUACGGAGGAUCCGAGCGUUAUCCGGAUUUAUUGGGUUUAAAGGGAGCGUAGGUGGAUUGUUAAGUCAGUUGUGAAAGUUUGCGGCUCAACCGUAAAAUUGCAGUUGAAACUGGCAGUCUUGAGUACAGUAGAGGUGGGCAGAAUUCGUGGUGUAGCGGUGAAAUGCUUAGAUAUCACGAAGAACUCCGAUUGCGAAGGCAGUUCACUGGACUGCAACUGACACUGAGGCGCGAAAGUGUGGGUAUCAAACAGGAUUAGAUACCCCAGUAGUC
rnacentral:rRNA from 1 species